rnacentral:lncRNA from 1 species
CUAAGGUUCUGGAUGAACGUUUGCUUCCACCAAUGAGAAGCACAUGUGUGAGAUUUGGAAGUUGGAAGUGAGAUGAAGGCCUCCUUCUUCCAAAUGAGCUGCCGGCUCAUCGGUGUUUGCAGCCAGGCUCAGCAUUCCAGUGUCGAGUAAUCAAUCAGCUUUGCCAUCAUCUAUAGGCAGUGACCAAGAUGCAGCAGUCAUUGUGCAGUCACCAAUUUUGGGGGGAACUGAGGCAACUGUGGGACUCAAGCAGUGGAAACAGCAGCAAUUUUCUGGCCUCUGGAUUGUAGUUGUGUGCCUUGAAAUCAAUAUCUAGCAGUGGGCCACUGUCUUCUGCUGCUGGAACCCAACCUACAAUUUUUUCUUGGGCUUCUAAAUCUUGUGAAGAACUCUCUAACAUCACUGAGAUAAGGUAUUUUCUUCAUGUACUAUACUUUAUCAUGCCCUCCGAUUAUGGAGACUAAAAUGAGUAGCCAGAACUCCUGUUCAUAGCAUCACUAUUCCUCAUCCAUACUAUGGUAAAUCACUCUUCUUAUUUUUUAAAUUCACUUUAUAAAGUUUAAAGCAUAAAUGAGAUAUUUGUUCCUUACUUAGCAAUCUUCCUUGGCUCCCUAUUUAUUUCAGUUCUCAAAUAGGAGCUUCAUCUGUAAUUAUAAUCAUUAUUAUUAGUAUUAUUAGUCUUUCAUAAAUACGACUCACAUUCUGCUGAUCCUCUUCUCUUCCUGCUAGUUAGAUAUAUGUGAUCUUUCACCAACAGGCUUUUAUUAUAGUCUUCACAGCCCUUCUACCCUAUAUUUACUUCUCCCAAUCAUUUGAGUAACAUUUAUCGUGCUCCAUAAUGUAAUGAUUGUUAUUAAACUGUUAUUACUGUGACUUUUAUAGUAAAGACUUUUUUAAGAAACACAC